CCGUACUUCACCUAGCUUCUUGGGAACACAAAGCUUUUUUUCACUUGGAAACUUCUCAACAUACAUAUAUAUGGGUAGAUACUAGCUCCAACUCAGAUUUACAGUGAAUACUACAGGAACUUCAAACCGGCAUUAGGAAACACACUGAAAAACCAGAGUAAGUGUUUCUCCUGCAACCCGUUCCCUUUGUGCUAGAUGAAGGAACACCUCUCCAAAUGCUCAGCUCUGAUAGAUAAUCGUGUGUGAAAGCCCUACUUCACCUAGCUUGUAGGGAACACAAAGUUUCUCUUUAGUUG